CAGAGGAGAUGAGGACCGGAGCUGCCCUCUGGCUGCUACAGUAGACAGGAGCUGAAGGAGGAGUCUGAAGGGUGGGAUGUACCCACUGGGUACAUACACCCUGCUCGACACAUCCCCAAAGAAACCCAAUCUCACCAGAGUGGUCUCUUGAGAUUUAUUAGUAACAACCUUUUUUCCCAAUAUUUCAUAUAUGCAGGAUGAUUUCUUACUUUCCUUUAAAAGGCCAAUCGUUUUUUGGACUUGGAAUUCUCCACUGCUGGUCAAUGCCACUGUAUUCUGCCAUAGGGGCAUCCCCCGAGUUGGAGAAAGAGUCAUUCCCAGGAAUGGAUAAAAGCCGGAAGGGCAUCAUCAGACCUGUGACCUGUCGCUGUGUACAAGCUUGAAUUCAUAACCAGCAGUCCUAGAAGUUCCCUUGCUGCCUGCGCUGAACUGAAGUGGCUCCCAACUGAGGCAUUCAAGAGAAAACUCACUGAAAUAUUUGAAACCACUGCCAUGAACAAGAAUGCUCUUCAUGUGUGCCCGGAUGUACACCCAGAGUGUUAUCUUGUUAGUUGUAUAUGCCAGCAUCCGGCAGGAGCUUUUACCUUUUUUGGGUGUCAACUUUGAGAUUCUGAUGUAAGCCACAGACCUCUUCCUCUGCCUGCAAGCACACCCACCCACAACCACGUGUUGCCUGGUUUAGAGAACUCCUGAGCCUGCAGCUGAGUCCACCUACAGGAGGAGGAGUGAAGCCCAGACCAGGGACAGGGUCAGAGCUGCGGUCACUCAUCCAUGGGCGGACAGCUCUGCAUUCUUGCGAGGGCCCAGAUACCCUCUUCUCUUGGAAGGCCAAGCCCAGAGCCUAAGUGGUCUUUGAACCCAAAUAGACUUUGUGGUCUAGGGAAUGAGAGCCCCACUCACCAGGGGAAGAAAUUGGGGAUCUUGGUCCUGAGUUUGUGGGGCAGACUUUUGCCAUUUUCCUCCCCCUUUCCCUGCCAUGCCCUAUUUGAAAAGAGGUCACUUCCUGAAUUUCAGUGAGCCAAGAUCGAGCCACUGCACUCCAACCUGAGCAACAGAGUGAGACUCUGUCUCAAGAAAAAAAAAAAAGAGAGAGAGAUCACUUCAAAACUUCCCUGUUCAAACAGUUGACCCUUGAACAACAGGGUUUAAACCGCGUGGGUCACUUACUUACACAUGGAUUUUCUUUCACUUCUGCCACCCCUUAGACAGCAAGACCAACCCUUCCUCCUCUCCUCCCACCUCCUCCUCCUCAGCCUACUCAAUGCAAAAAUGAGGAGAAGAACCUCUAUGAUGAGCCACUUAAUGAAUAGUAAACACAUUUUCCUUAUGACUGCUUUAUUUCCUCUAGCUUACUUUACUGUAAGAAUACACUAUACAAUACAUAUAACACACAAAAUGUACGUUAACCAACUAUCUGCGUGAUCACUGAGGCUGCCACCCAAGAACAGACUAUUAGUAAAUUCCUUUUGGCAUAGUCAAAAGUUAUUGUCCGAAUUUCAACUGUGUGGCGAGUUGGUGCCCCUAAUCUCUGCAUUGUUCACGGGUCAAUUGUAUUGCUUAAGAGGUAGUCAUUGGAACACUCCUUAGGGGCUAUUUUUUU